CCUCCAUCUCGCGGUCUCUCGCUGAGGACCAAGAGACAGUUGCUGUAGAGGAGAUUCUGUGCGUGUGUUUUUCAUUUCUUUGUGGAUUUGUUUCAAAGAUAUUGUCAUCUGUGUAGAAGUGCUAAGCAGAUGCUACACUGUAAGAAGAGGCAACAGAAUCAAAAACUGAAAGAUUGUUACUAAAACCAAUGAAGAGCUGCAGAGAGUGGAGACCCGGCAAAGCAAACAAAUGAAUCCUGAAAAGGAUCCCCAAAGGAGGUGUAAGGAUCCGGGACUCCAGUGUCUGCCAGAAGCUUCAGCCACCUUCACAGAUUAGAGCUCACCGUCCAUUGCGGAGGUGAAGACCGGAUGAGAGCUGCUGGAUUGACCUUGAUGUGCCAUGUCCUUGUGUGGAUGAAGGACCUACAUCUCAGGGACGGCCAGCAGCAGAUGUAACACGUGUGUCCAGGAAUGGGCUAAAUAACCUACA